AAUGCACUCUCUUCGUUCGGAAUUACUUGUCGCAGAAAUGGAUGUAUCUAGAUGUAUUUUAGUUCUAGAUACAUCUAUUUCCAAGACAAGUAAUUCCAAACGGAGGGAGUAUAUG
rfam:Triticum aestivum genome assembly, contig: Triticum_aestivum_CS42_TGACv1_scaffold_578490_7BL